rnacentral:rRNA from 1 species
CCUACGGGAGGCAGCAGUGAGGAAUAUUGGUCAAUGGACGGAAGUCUGAACCAGCCAUGCCGCGUGCAGGAAGACGGCUCUAUGAGUUGUAAACUGCUUUUGUACAAGGGUAAACCUGAAUACGUGUAUUCAGCUGAAAGUACUGUACGAAUAAGGAUCGGCUAACUCCGUGCCAGCAGCCGCGGUAAUACGGAGGAUCCAAGCGUUAUCCGGAUUUAUUGGGUUUAAAGGGUGCGUAGGCGGAUUGAUAAGUUAGAGGUGAAAUGUCCGAGCUUAACUCGGGAACUGCCUCUAAUACUGUUGGUCUAGAGAGUAGAUGCGGUAGGCGGGAUGUAUGGUGUAGCGGUGAAAUGCUUAGAGAUCAUACAGAACACCGAUUGCGAAGGCAGCUUACCAAUCUAUAUCUGACGUUGAGGCACGAAAGCGUGGGGAGCAAACAGGAUUAGAUACCCCAGUAGUC